GACGAACGCUGGCGGCGUGCUUAACACAUGCAAGUCGAACGAAGAGCGAUGGAAGCUUGCUUCUAUCAAUCUUAGUGGCGAACGGGUGAGUAACGCGUAAUCAACCUGCCCUUCAGAGGGGGACAACAGUUGGAAACGACUGCUAAUACCGCAUACGAUCUAAUCUCGGCAUCGAGGAUAGAUGAAAGGUGGCCUCUACAUGUAAGCUAUCACUGAAGGAGGGGAUUGCGUCUGAUUAGCUAGUUGGAGGGGUAACGGCCCACCAAGGCGAUGAUCAGUAGCCGGUCUGAGAGGAUGAACGGCCACAUUGGGACUGAGACACGGCCCAGACUCCUACGGGAGGCAGCAGUGGGGAAUCUUCCGCAAUGGACGAAAGUCUGACGGAGCAACGCCGCGUGAGCGAUGACGGCCUUCGGGUUGUAAAGCUCUGUUAAUCGGGACGAAAGGCCUUCUUGCGAAUAGUGAGAAGGACUGACGGUACCGGAAUAGAAAGCCACGGCUAACUACGUG
rnacentral:rRNA from 1 species